rnacentral:rRNA from 1 species
GACGAACGCUGGCGGCGCGCCUAACACAUGCAAGUCGAACGGAGUGCUUGGUUAGAACCCUUCGGGGGAACGACUGAGUUACUUAGUGGCGGACGGGUGAGUAACGCGUGAGUAACCUGCCUUUCUGAGGGGGAUAACGUUUGGAAACGAACGCUAAUACCGCAUAACAUCAUUUCAUCGCAUGGUGAGAUGAUCAAAGGAGCAAUCCGCAGAGAGAUGGACUCGCGUCUGAUUAGCUAGUUGGAGGGGUAACGGCCCACCAAGGCAACGAUCAGUAGCCGGACUGGGAGGUUGAACGGCCACAUUGGGACUGAGACACGGCCCAGACUCCUACGGGAGGCAGCAGUGGGGAAUAUUGCACAAUGGGGGAAACCCUGAUGCAGCGACGCCGCGUGAGGGAAGAAGGUUUUCGGCUCGUAAACUUCUAUCGACAGGGAAGAAGAAUGACGGUACCUGAAUAAGAAGCCCCGGCUAACUACGUGCCAGCCGCCGCCGUA